GAUGAACGCUGGCGGCGUGCCUAAUACAUGCAAGUCGAGCGAACGGACGAGGAGCUUGCUUCUCUGAUGUUAGCGGCGGACGGGUGAGUAACACGUGGAUAACCUACCUAUAAGACUGGGAUAACUUCGGGAAACCGGAGCUAGUACCGGAUAAUAUUUUGAACCGCAUGGUUCAAAAGUGAAAGACGGUCUUGCUGUCACUUAUAGAUGGAUCCGCGCUGCAUUAGCUAGUUGGUAAGGUAACGGCUUACCAAGGCAACGAUGCAUAGCCGACCUGAGAGGGUGAUCGGCCACACUGGAACUGAGACACGGUCCAGACUCCUACGGGAGGCAGCAGUAGGGAAUCUUCCGCAAUGGGCGAAAGCCUGACGGAGCAACGCCGCGUGAGUGAUGAAGGUCUUCGGAUCGUAAAACUCUGUUAUUAGGGAAGAACAUAUGUGUAAGUAACUGUGCACAUCUUGACGGUACCUAAUCAGAAAGCCACGGCUAACUACGUG
rnacentral:rRNA from 1 species